rnacentral:rRNA from 1 species
UACGGAGGGUGCGAAACGUUGCUCGGAAUCAUUGGGCGUAAAGCGUACGUAGGCGGUCCAGCAAGUCGGGUGUGAAAUCCCUGGGCUUAACCGAGGAAGUGCAAACGAAACUACUGGACUUGAGUACUGAAGAGGGUCGCGGAAUUCCCGGUGUAGAGGUGAAAUUCGUAGAUAUCGGGAGGAACACCAGUGGCGAAGGCGGCGACCUGGGCAGAUACUGACGCUGAGGACGAAAGCGUGGGGAGCAACAGG